rnacentral:rRNA from 1 species
AACGAACGCUGGCGGCGCGCCUAACACAUGCAAGUCGAACGAGAAGCUGUAGCAAUACAGUUGUACAGUGGCGAACGGGUGAGGAAUACAUGGGUGACCUACCCUCGAGUGGGGAAUAACCAGCCGAAAGGUUGGCUAAUACCGCGUACGUUUCCCAGUCUGCGGAUUGGGAAGGAAAGCGAUGCCGUGGGUAUCGCGCUCAAGGUUGGGCUCAUGUCCUAUCAGCCNGUUGGUGAGGUAACGGCUCACCAAGGCAACGACGGGUAGCUGGUCUGAGAGGACGAUCAGCCACACUGGCACUGCGACACGGGCCAGACUCCUACGGGAGGCAGCAGUGAGGAAUAUUGCGCAAUGGGCGAAAGCCUGACGCAGCGACGCCGCGUGGGGGAGUGAAGGUCCUCGGAUUGUAAACCCCUUUCGGGAGGGAAGAUGGGACGAGCAAUCGUUCGGACGGUACCUCCAGAAGCAGCCACGGCUAACUUCGUGCCAGCAGCC